rnacentral:misc_RNA from 1 species
GACUCGCCCGCAUCGCUAGAAGGGCCAAAGGUCUCGCAAAGAAACCCUGACCGCUGUACAAUCUACGCAGUCCACGCCGACUGCUCCAUACCAUGCCCCACACCCGCCAUCUCCAGCCCGAGCAUUCCGUCGUCUUCGCCCGUUCCCUCCGGAUGCAACAACCGCCAAAAAUCGAUAGCCGGGUCGUCGCCGAGUCCCAUGCCCGUCAAGUCGAACAGCCCCGACUCGCUGGCACCAGGCACGCUCGACUGGAGCGCGUCGCGCGCCAUCGGGUCCUGCGCGACGAGCGAUUCUGACAUCCCGAAGCCGCUGCCGUCCGGCUCGGACGUCGAGUACGAGCCGCCGAGGCCAGCAAAGAGUGCUUCGAGUGCUUGUUGCGAGAGGGGCGCGGAAGGGAGGACGUGGGCGGACGGGUCGGGCAGGACAAAGGUCGGCUCAGACUCGUUGGUCUGCUCGGGGACCGGCGGUAGGCGCAGCGAGGUGGACGAGGAGGCAUUCGACGCGAAGAAGGGAGUUUUGCUCGUGGCAACGCUGGGCGUGACGACCG